UACGUAGGGGGCUAGCGUUGUCCGGAAUCAUUGGGCGUAAAGAGCGUGUAGGCGGCCCGGUAAGUCCGCUGUGAAAGUCGGGGGCUCAACCCUCGAAUGCCGGUGGAUACUGUCGGGCUAGAGUGCGGAAGAGGUAAGUGGAACUGCGAGUGUAGAGGUGAAAUUCGUAGAUAUUCGCAAGAACACCAGUGGCGAAGGCGGCUUACUGGUCCGGUUCUGACGCUGAGGCGCGAAAGCGUGGGGAGCAAACAGGG
rnacentral:rRNA from 1 species